CGGCCUAUAGCACGCUCCUAUUGCCUGCCCCAAGCUGUACGGCGGAAGUGCCGUAAGGUUACUCCACUGGGUGCCGCCAUGAUAACGCUGAGGGGGAGCUGCCCAUGGCGCUGCCGGUGGCGGAGUGGCGGCGGAGCGUUGCCCGGUGCUGGGCCGCACUGGAACCAACGCUGAGGGAACGGCUGGAGGCGGCUCCGCUGGAUGAAGUCCUACGGUUAGGCUGCGGCCUAUUUAGGCCCGAGGAGGCGGCCUUACAGCGGUUGUGUGGCCGGGCUCUGGUGGGCAAGGAACCGGCGGCCGCUCGCUUCUACAGGGAGGAAGGAAACAGACGGUUCGGCCGCUGCUGCUACCGCGAUGCCGCCCGGCUGUAUUCACAGGCCGCGGCCUUCGAACCUCCCCACAGCCCUGAGGUGGCCCUGUGCUUCGCCAACCGCUCUGCAGCCCUGUUCCACCUCGGGUACUUUGAGGUUUGUUUGGAAGAUAUUGCCAGGGCUGAAAGUCAUGGCUAUCCAAAUAGGCUGCUGCCCAAGGUCUUGCUGAGGAAGGCUGAAUGCCUGCUGCGUUUGGGGAGGUUACAGGAUGCAACAGACACCCUCACUGCAGUGGAGAAUAAAAUGGCUGUAGAUGGCGUUAUGACUAAUCCCAUCCACCUUAAGCUACUGAAAAAGUUAAGUCAACUGAAGACUGAAAUACAUAAGGGAAGCUGUCCAGAACCUGCACAAGAAGCACGUGGUGAUAUUCAAAGGGAGUCAGAGAUCUGGGAAGAGAAUGGCAGUAUUUCAGGUGCAUCUUCAUCUUUGAGCUUGAAUUUCAAUACAGAGAGAGGACGACACUUGGUGGCCUCCCAGGACAUCCUGCCAGGACAAAACCUAUUGAAAGAGAAGGCUUUUGUCAGUGUGCUCUGCCCAGGUGAAGGGGAUAGCCACCUUCUACAGGACAGCAGCGAAACAGUGUGGGAUACUCACGUCACUAACACAGAUCUUUAUUGCCACCAUUGUCUGAAGCAGCUCUUAGCCUCUGUGCCGUGUUCUGGGUGCAGUUAUGCAAAGUACUGCAGCCAAAACUGUGCAGAUGUGGCAUGGGAGCAAUACCACAGGACAGAAUGCCCCUUGGGAGCACUACUGCUUGUGUUAGGGGUCUUCUGCCAUGUUGCCUUAAGGACUGUUCUACUGGCAGGAUUUCCAGAGGUUAGCAGGCUGGUGGAAUGGUCUCAUGGUGAUAACAACAAGGACCUUUGUAGUGCUGAGGUAGGAGGUAAACAUCCCAGCAAGGCACUGGAUACAAGAGCUGGAAUGAAAGGUAUCCCUGGUUGUAAUGAUAAUGGCCAGUACCAGAGUUCCUACCAAGCUGUGUUCAACCUUUUGCCACAUGUUGAGAAGCAUAGUCCUGAACAUAAGUUCCUUUGCAUGCUGAGUGUAGUAGCUAUAUGCAAAAAACUGCAAGAAACUGGUCUAGAGGCCCCUGUUCUGAACAGGGAGUCAUCUACAAUGGGAUCAGAACAAAAGACGUGUGGAAAAGCAUCUGAUGAACUGUCUCCACAACUGAUGAUUAUGGCAGAAGCAAUGCUGAGGCAUGUGCUGCAGCUACAGUGUAAUGCACAAGCGAUCACUGUAAUGCAGGAGUUAGAGUCUGGAGAUGGUGCUGUUGUAAAUAAGAAGCCUGUGCGCCUGGCGACAGCCUUCUUUCCUGUCCUCAGCCUUCUGAACCAUUCGUGUAGCCCCAAUAUCAGUGUGUCAUUUGAUGGGACAGCUGCCACUGUCAGGGCAUCACAGCCAAUCCCAAGCGGGCAGGAGAUUUUCCAUUGCUAUGGGCCUCAUCGGUGUAGAAUGAGGGUUGCUGAGAGACAACAGCAUCUCAGUCAGUAUUUCUUUGAGUGCCGCUGUCAGGCAUGCCUUGAUGAGUUAGAGUCUGAUGUCGAGAGUGUGUCCAUGAGAAACUCAUUCUGCUGCCCUAGCUGCCAGGCUUCAAUGCAGGGGGAAGAAAUGCUGUGUUGUUCAAACAAAGCUUGUGCACUCUCAGUCAGCAGAGAGAGAUUGUCACGGCGCUUACUGGACCUUCAGCAACAAAUGGAGAAAGCAUUAGAGCUGCUAAGAGACAGCAAGGCUGAUGAAGCUAUCAAAAUGCUCUUGAAGUGUCAAAUGGAUGCUAGAAACUUCUUGUCACCAGAGCAUUUGCUGAUGGGAGAGCUGGAGGACCAUCUGGCACAGGUCUAUGCUACACUUGGAAAGUGGCAAGAAGCAGCCAGACACUUGGAGAGGAGCAUUCAGCUUGUGGAAAUGCAUCAUGGGCCAUCAAGUGUAGAAAUGGGUCAUGAACUUUUCAAACUGGCACAAAUUCUCUUCAAUGGAUUUGCAGUUUCUGAAGCUCUGAGCACAAUUCAAAGAGCAGAGGAGAUUUUAUCAGUGCACUGUGGUCCGCAGAGUACUCAGAUCCAGGAACUACAAGAGAUGAAGACCUGUCUGUUAGAACUUCCCAGAAGCAUCCUUCAGAGGACUUAAUUUCCCUAUCAAAGGAAGAUUCAGUGUGAUCUUUCAUCAAAGCUAAGUUUCAUGUGGGGUCCUAUGAAACAGCACUGAUGAGUUCAGACUGCUCUCUGUGAUUGCUCCAUCCCUCAGCACUGACUACUUCUGAAGCAUCGUGCAACCGGUAGAUCUAGAGGAUUUGACUCCCACCAAAACUGUCACCUUUGCAAAAAGAAAAAGCCUCUUCCCAGCUGCAACACAGGUACUAGCAGGGCAGAAAAGGGAGGAAAAAAGGAGUCCCAAUCCCUGAGCACACUGAAGCACAGUGGUGCCCAAGGAUGCUGCUGGCUCCCAACCCUUGGUGAUGCUGCUUACCUGAUGGGAGUGCUGCUCUUUGACACCUGUGCCCCACGACCCACCCAGAAGCCCCCAGCCUCAUCCUUGUGCCCUCUGCUUUCUUGGCUGCUGGCUGCUGAGGUGGGCAGCACUUGCAGCCUCCGUUGCCCCUUACCUUGGGCUCCUCUCGGCCGCCACUGCUGCAGGAUCCCAGCGAGUGUGAGCCAGGGACAGUGCAGGCUCAGUACAGUCACAUCUGCUUUUUGCUGCCUCCCCAGCCCAGCCUUCAGCAGGCUUCAGGUUACAGCUUCCCAGGGCGCUCUUAAAGUGCUCUGCUCCCGUUUUCUUUUGCUGUGAUCCUCUUGCUUAACUUUCCAAAGCAAAUGUGCCUUCUGUGAUAAGGGCUUUCUAACAGCUGAAACGUGGGACUGAGCCAAGUGUUCAGCCUGUUCUUCCCUGCAGUGUUUGAGCAAGCCUUUUAUUCCCUCACUUCUGCCCCAUGUCACAUUAGGGAAUUUCUUCUCUCUGUUAAUAGAGUAUUGUUUAAAGAUUUAAUGGAGAGGCUUGUGAAGGGGAAGCUGGAUUCAUCUGCAGCUUAAAGCAGUUAAGGGGAAGAUGUUCAGAAGUGAUUCUACACAGUGAUAGUUGCUGGUGAAGAAGUUAUUAAUGUAUGUGCCUGAGUGUUUUUUUGGCCAAAAAAGAGAAGUCUUGGUUUAAAAGAAGAAAGAUAAUGAAGAGAAUGUUGUAGGAGCUCAUAGAGUGAUAAGUGAUCAGGAAGAGGGAAGAGGCAGAGGUCAUUAUUUGUCAUAAUAGAAGAGUCAUGGUGAGCACUCAUCAGUAUCAGCAUAGUUUUAGUGAGGGUUUUUUGGGUUUUUUUUUAUGAAGUAUUAACCUGUAAAACUCAUUGCACCUCGAUACUGAAGAAGAUGAAAAUGGAUUUCUAAAGAGUAAAUGAUAAAUUAAUAGACGACAGGUUCAUUUAUGUCUAACAGUGGUCAGAUGUCAAAUCAUGCUCAGCAGCUGGGAGACACAAUGAGAGAACAGUUGUUUUUUUGUCCUGAGUUCUACUUUCUUGGUUUUAUUACUCAGUCAUUUGUUCCUAGCUGCUAGGAGAGAUUGACAUGAAGCUGCCUGAUCCAGUACAGCUGUUUGUAUGCUUGGAAAUGCUGAAAGUAAAUUAUGCAGUAAUGUCAGUAUCCCUUGUCUGGGUUUGUACUGGGACAUGCUUUGGGCUGCCAGCCCUGCUGCUCAGAGGUAACAAAGAGUUACUCAUGGAUGCUUGCAUUGGCCUUGUACAGUCCCUUGGAUAAGAGGAAAGGAUGGUUUCAGAGGAGCAGUAGCAGCUGUUUUUGCAAGUGGGAAAAGCAAAUCAAGGAGCUUGCUUUGUGAUUAGUCAGUGCUUCAAAGGUGACCCUUCCUGACAUGAAGAGCAACAGCUCUGCUUCUUGGCUUGUUCAGUGAGAAGUCAUCAGCAGAGAUGUUUGUACUUGUUAGACUUCCAUCGUCUGCUGGAAAAAUGAGAGCGUGAGCUUUGGAGAUAACUUCUGAUGUUGUUUGUCACUUCUUGAUACAAAUACAGUAUUAAAAUUCAUUUUUAUGGAAGAACAUAGAGAAUUUUUUUGUAUCUUGUCUGUAUCUUCAAAUGAAAGCCCUUCUUUGUAAAUAAAAUCUUGGUGUAAAACCGUUUAAAUUGGAGUAGCGAUUGCAUAGAAUGUUAUAGCCUGAAGCAAGCUUUAUUCCUGCAGGUAGAACAAGCAUAUCCCUGAAGUGGUGUGUUUGUUAAUCCCCUGAUUCUCAUUACACGAGUAUCAGUUCUGUUAAAUCAAUAGAAAUAAUAUUUUACUGUAGGUUGUUUUGGAUUCGAGAGAGCAGGCAACAUGCUGUCAGAGCAGUGCUGUGGAAGCUCUGAUAUUGAUAUGAAUUUGGUUUAGUAAGAGAAAAAAAAUGUAUAAUAUUAAAGAUUUUCAGGCUUAUUUGGUAUUCUCAGCCAGUGGUGCAGGUGAGUUAUGGAGCAGAUGCUGUAUUCUAGUUGUGUUGUUUCAGAACAGAGCUCAGUCAACAUGAAGGCUUAGCAAAGCGAAGUGGAAAUUCCUGAGUGGAGACAUUAAUAUUACUUUGCAUUUUACAAACUGCCUCUUCUGCAGAGUCAGUGGAGUCUUAAGGUUGGUGUAACCGAUCAUUUGUGCACCGAAGCACAGUCAUGGGAGGCUGCUCUGCUGACAAAUAAGAUGAAAUUAAUAGUUUGACAAGAAUAGCUUGGAGGAGGAGGAAUGACAGAAAGAAGGAAGAUAGGAAAUAAGAAUCAAAGCUGUUCAGGAACCUGAGAAUGAGAGGGGAAAAAAGCCUUACAGAAGAAAGGGAACUGGAGGGCAGAGUUGUGUAAGGGAGGGCUUGCACUUUUGCACAGGACGCAGUGCAACAGAGUGGAAUGACAUUGUAUUAGGAAAGCGAGACAUACCCAAGGCAUGGGAUGGUAUUUCUGAAUGUUAGAAAUGAAUCUGUAUAAAUAAAUGAGCUGAAGUGCACCCUGUGGGCUACAGCUAUGCCUCUAGAGUAGGGCUAGAUUCUUGUGGGUUUACUUGUUGGAAUUAUGUGGCCCCAUAAUUAUACCCUCAUUUUGAAGGGGACGUGUCAUCGCAUUGGUCACAGGGGUGGGCAUUAUCUUUAGCCAUUUUCCCUCUUUUAGACUACGAGAAAUGUGUAAUUGCAGCUUUGAGUCAGUACUUUUUAUUCCCCAAAGUCUCCCGCGUCCCUGAAAUUCAUGGUUAGUGAGUCAGUCCUUCCCUUAUUCCAGCAGAUGGUGCAGACUAUUCAGGGACGGAGGCUCCCAGAAGCAUUCUGCUCCUUCCUUUGAGGGAAGACAGACUUUCCGAGGUAGGAAAACUGUGCCAGAAGGAUGGCCCUUGUGCUUUGUAACCACUAUUUCACAAAAACAGAGCACCAUACUUCUGAUCCAGAGGCUGAGGGAGUUUGGAAGCAGAAUCUGCUAUGGACAACCAUUGUGUUAUAUAUAAGUAACUGUAAGUUGGCAGGCAAGGGUGAGUUGGUCAAACAUUUUCAAGUGGUAAUGGGUAGCUCUGUGGGGUGGAGGGUUCCCAAUAAUUGUACAUGGUAGGUUGCUCCAGCUGAGCACAGCUAUGUUAGAACAAGAAGUCAGGGAGCUAUGCCUUAAUUCAAGGAAUUCUGCCCAAUUCAUGGUGCCAGCUCUGAACAAGUGAGUCAGGCACACUCUGUAAGUGAGCUAGCAGUUACUAGACUCAUCUUUGGACAGUCUUUACUGAUUAGCAAUUGUAUAUCAUAGUCCCCCCUUAUCAUACGUGACAAAGCGUAGCUAAGAGCAGCUCCUUUGCAAGGGCCCCUCGUAGCAUUGUAUCUUUUAUGCCCAGACUGUUUUUUUCCUCCUAAUCUUUGCAAUUAUUCAAGUCGCUCGCCUGUUUCCAUUCCCUGUUGAGUCUUUCAAUGCAACACCAUAAGCAAAUGCAUUCUGCUUUACUCUUUAUUAUUCUGUCAACAUAAAAAUUACUAAAAAAUGCUUUACAAAAUAAACCUCGAAAAAUCCAGCAUUACUCAAGAACCUAGAAUUAUUUUUCAGGAACAGGACUGGAGAAAAAGGGACUAAGUCCCUCACUGCAGACCCUCCCACAGCAGAUCCUAAUAGCCAAGGAGUGGGAAAAGGCAGUGUCUGAGAAGAGCUUGUGCCUGAAGUGGCUCUGACUCAUCCCAGAGAAGACAACUGGUUACUAGUCCACUAGAUUUAGAGGUCAUUUCCUAGGUGGGUACAAACAGACAGUUUAUAGAGGAACACUGUGAGGAAGGCAUGUUCACAGGAACCAAGGAAGGAA